rnacentral:rRNA from 1 species
UACAGAGACUGCAAGCGUUAUUCGGAUUCACUGGGCGUAAAGGGCUCGUAGGCGGCCCUCUUAGUCGGAUGUGAAAUCCCCAGGCUUAACCUGGGAACGGCAUCCGAUACUGGAGGGCUUGAAUUCGGGAGAGGGAUGCAGAAUUCCAGGUGUAGCGGUGAAAUGCGUAGAGAUGUGGAGGAAUACCGAUGGCGAAGGCAGCCUCCUGGGCCAGCACUGACGCUCAUGCACGAAAGCGUGGGGAGCAAACAGG